GCUCAAACGCAUCUCCCGCCGCGGGGCGGGAUCUAGGGGCCCAGGCCCCGGGGUCCAGAGGCGGGUAACUUUGCUAAUCUCCCCCAGCGGCGGGGAACGUCGCGCAACCGCUGAGCCCUGUCCGCCGAGACUAAACAAGCAGAGGAACAGGCUGUAAACACACAUCCUGACACAGGCCGUGUGUACCAGCAGAGGAAGCGAUAGUUGACGCUGAUAUACCAUUAAAUCAAAAUGAAGACGUUCAGAGGCAGGGAUGUUGCUCUUGGAGAAUGUGAAGACAGUUUGCUUCUUGACAAGCGAGCGAACGGGCGCCCAGAUUUUUGCAGCCUUUCCGAGUCUCCCCCGAGGGAGAGGCGGCAGAGAAAACGCCGGAUUUGGGAGCCACCAGGGAAGGAUCCGCGCAGGGGAGCCGCCCUCCUUGGCCCCAGACCCGCCUGCCUGGGGCCCCCUUUGCUCACUGUCAAUGUAUGGUCUGAAGCUCUGAGGAUGGUGCUGGGGACUGGGGUCGGGGGAAGCCUCUUGAAUAAUAACUGCAAAGAAGAAAGAGGCGAGAACGUCUCCCUAACCUUGAAGCAGAAAGGACUGUGUUCUUAAAGCUGUUGGCUGCAGUCACAGGGCCAGUUGCCCGCCUCUGUUCCCUGAGUAAAGUGUAACAUCUUCUGU
rnacentral:lncRNA from 1 species